UGGGAAAUGGGGAAGGGGAGAGAUGGAGGGUAUGGGACACAGGGAGGGAAGAGAGAGAGAGAUAAAUGGAACUCCUGGAGGGAAGGGGGGAGAGAGGGAGAAUGGGACAGAGGGAGGGGAGGAGGGAGAGAGGGAACAAUGGGACACAUGGAUGUGAGGGAGAGAGAGGGAUGGUAUGGGACACAGGAAGGGCAGGGGGAUAGACAGAGAAAUGGGACACAGGGAGGGGAGAGAGAGGGUAAGGGUCACAUGUAAGAGAGGGGAGGAGGGAGAGAGAGUAUUGAACACAUGUAAGGGGGAGGGAGGGAGAAAUGGGACACAGUGAGGAGGGGGAAAUAGGGUAUAAGAGAGGGAGGGUAAGAGAGAGAAGAAUGGGACACAUGGAGUAGAGGGGAAGAGAGGAAGGAAUGGGGCACAGGGAGGGGAGAGAGGGAGUGAAUGGGUCACAUGGAGGGGAGGGAAUGAGGGAGGGUAUGAGACACAUGGAAGGGAGGAGGGAGAGAGGGUAUGGGACACAUGAGAGGUAGGGUAUGAGACACAUGGAAGGGAGGGGUAGAAAGGGAAGAAUGGGAUAUGUGGAGGGGAGAGAGAGAGACACAGGGUGGAGAGGGAGAUAUGGGACACAUGGAAGUGCUGGGAGGGAGGAGGGUAUGUAAAACAUGGAGGUGCUGCAGGGAGAGGGAAUGGGAUACAUUGAGGGGCUGGAGGGGUUGAGGGUAUGGGAAAUUGGAGGGUGAGGGGGAGAGGGAAUGGGACACAUGGAGGGGCUGUGGUGUUGAGGGAAUGAGUCAAGGAGGGGGCCUGGGUGCGGGAAUGAGACCCAGUGGGCAGAAUGAGGCACCAGGGAAAUUGAAUGAGACACUGGGGGGAUGAGACACAUGGUAGUGGGCAAUUUUCAAAUGACCACAAGGAUGCAGUGUGUGUAGAUUGGAUACAGGCUCUGUGUGUGUUGUGGAUGCAGUGUGUGUUUGUGUAUUGGAUGCAGUGUGUGUAAAGUGGACACAGUGUGUUUGUGCAUGUGUAGUUGAGGCAGUGUAUUUGUGUAGUUAAUGCAAUGUGUGUUUGAAUGAAAGCAUGUUUAUGUAUGGUGUAUGUGUGUGAAUGUUGUUGUUUGAAUGCAGGCAUGCAUUUGUGUGUUGUGCAUACACUUCCACACACACUGAUACACAUACAUACAGAUACACAGUCACACACACACUGACAAUCAUGCAAAUACAUAGAUACACACACUGACACACUGACUCACACAGUUACACACACAAUGACACACAGAUACACACAGACAUACAUACUGACAGACACACAGACAUACAUACUGACACUCACACAGACACACACACUGACACACAGACAUACAUACUGACACAUCGAUACACAUACUAAUACACAAACAUACAUACUGACACAAAAACAUACAUACUGACAGACACACACACAUGCAAUUAAUUUUUUAGCCACCUUCCUGUUACUUUAUUUUGGGUGCAGGAGGGUGGCUGGGGCUGAUGGGUGUUGGUCUAGCAGUUAGCUCUCCCAUUCCUACUGCCUUUGCUCUGCCUUCCUCCCAAGUGGAGUAAGCCAGGAGGAAAUGACCGUCUGUCACUUACUCCCAGCAAAAGUUGUUGCUACCGUGUUUCCCCGAAAAUAAACCCUACCCCGAAAAUAAGCCCUAGUCGGAUUUUCGGCGUGGGCUGCAAUAUAAGCCCUACCCCGAAAAUAAGACCUAGGCAUUGUACCUUUGCGGCGAGACUUCCUUCUUCUACUGUAGGAGGAGCGUUGCGGGCCGCGGCAUCGCAAAACGUGAUGACGUCAUUUCGCAGCGCCGUCAGUCUGCCUUCACGGAUCUUCAGCGGAAGGAUCCAUUUCCGGGCGGUGAGGCUCCCAGUGGUCGGACUCGGCAAGGAAACUUUGAAAUGUGAGUACCGGUAGAUAUUUUAUGUCUGGGACUGAAUUAAUUAAAGGGGGUGGGGGGUGAAUUAAUUAAAGGGGGGUGAAUUAAAGGGUGGGCUGGAUUAAUUAGAGGGGGGUGAAUUAAUUAAAGGGGGGUGAAUUAAUUAAGGGGGGUGAAUUAAUUAAAGGGUGGGCUGGAUUAAUUAGAGGGGGUGAAUUAAUUAAAGGGGGGUGAAUUAAUUAAAGGGUGGACUGGAUUAAUUAGAGGGUGUGUAUUAAUUAAAGGGGGGGUGAAUUAAUUAAAGGGUAGGUGAAUUAAUUAAAGGGUGGGUGAAUUAAUUAAAGGGUGGGCUGGAUUAAUUAGAGGGGGUGAAUUAAUUAAAGGGGGGUGAAUUAAUUAAAGGGUGGACUGGAUUAAUUAGAGGGGGUGAAUUAAUUAAAGGGGUGGUGAAUUAAUUAAAGGGGUGGUGAAUUAAUUAAAGGGUGGGCUGGAUUAAUUAGAGGGGGUGAAUUAAUUAAAGGGGUGGUGAAUUAAUUAAAGGGUAGACUGGAUUAAUUAGAGGGGGUGAAUUAAUUAAAGGGGUGGUGAAUUAAUUAAAGGGUGGGCUGGAUUAAUUAGAGGGGGUGAAUUAAUUAAAGGGGGGUGAAUUAAUUAAAGGGUUGGCUGGAUUAAUUAGAGGGGGUGAAUUAAUUAAAGGGGGGUGAAUUAAUUAAAGAGUGGACUGGAUUAAUUAGAGGGGGUGAAUUAAUUAAAGGGUGGGCUGGAUUAAUUAGAGGGGGUGGAUUAAUUAGAGGGGGUGGAUUAAUUAGAGGGGGGUGGAUUAAUUAAAGGGGGGGUUCAAUGUACAUACCGGUACCGUAAAUAAAUAAGCCCUACCCUGAAAAUAAGCCCUAGUGUGUUUUUUGUGACUAAAAUUAAUAUAAGACCCGGUCUUAUUUUCGGAGAAACACGGUACCAAUUUUAGAGCUAUCCAGUUGCGCUAUAUAAUCUGACCACGCCCCUGAUGAUAUAUGCCUUAAGAGCAUGUACCACGGUGCAGUUGCACCAGCGGCAGUUCUGCCACUACAGAUAUACGGAAUGUACAGUCAAAUGGCCAGACACCCCAGUACUGCUGGUUUUGUGACAAGCAUCUUGGUGAGCCCUGAAUAAGACUUAAAGAUAAAAAAGAUACAAAAAUCCUGUAUUUAAAUCCUGUAUUUUAGGGCUCCAAGCAGAUUAAAGUUUCAAAAUAGGAACAGCCUUUAUAAGGUUCCCACACUUCCCUGUCCAUCUCUGACUAACUCACAAUAUAACAAUUCUGUAUUAAACAUAUACAUUAAAAGAAGGAUGUUUUGUUACCUGUAGUGGCACCAGAUUGUGUAGUUGAAGCUGAAAUUCAAAGUGACAUGUUAGUGAUUCAAUUUAAUAUGCAAAAGUAGUAGACAGAUUAUAAAAUGCAGAAGGCUAUCAGUUAACGUAUUACAUUAUGGUUAGGUUGACAAAUCUUAACUAAAGGGGAGGUCCAUUACAAGGCUAAUAUACCUUACAUUGCUGUAAAAAAUAGGCUAUGCUUUUUUUUAUAUUUUCAUUUUACAGGCUCCAAAAAAGGUCAAAGAAAAAUCCAAUGCAUCCAAAGAGUUUAAAACAAAAAACGCACGGUUUGUAAAAAUUCAAUCCACUCUUAAACAGAAUGUUCAACUCAAUUAGGGGAAAUGCUGGUUUCCCCCGAGCAAGUAUGGAGUCCAGUAUUUCUCCCAUUCUAAAACCAGGGAAAGAUACAAAACUGGUCAUUAAUUAUAGGCCCAUCUCCACUAUUAAUAUAUAUAUUAAGUUUUUUUUAAGAUUUCUGUUGUCUAAUUACAAAUUAAAUCUUUCUAAAACCCAAAUUUUGACAUUUUAUAUGACUGAAGAACAGAGAAAAGAAUAUAGGUGACUUUGGUCAAUUCGAUUAACAUAAAAAAUGUAUAUAUUAUUUAGGAAUAUACCGCAAACUCUUGAAAUGAAUUAGGAAACCUUGUGGGAGGAACUUAACAUAUUAUUGACUCAAUUGAAGAGAUUGGAAAUCUCAUGGUUGGGAUGUCUUGGUGUAUUAAAAUCAUAUGUACUCCCAAAACUUCUCUACUUGUUUAGAGCAAUACCAUACCAAGUCUCAAACUCUAUUCUGAAAAAAAAUUGACUUGCCAUUUUCUAACUUUGUUUGGGCAUCUAAAAAACCUAAGAUCCCAAGCACAAUUCUUAAGAGAAGCACUUUACAACAUGGUUUAGUAUAUCCAGAUAUAUAUCGUUAUAAUGAUUCAUUCCAACUUUUCCAUAUGAUGGCGUAGAAGAGAAGGAAGAAGGUUAAUAUUGGUUAAUAUAACAUUAAAAAAUAUAUAACAGGAACCUGUGAGCCUUAUUUAUUGUGUUCGUCCUCUACUAAACUAUAAAAAAAAAUACAACUAAUACAGCUACAAUCUUUACUUGAACACUAAUACAGCUGUCUAAUAAAGCAAAUCUACAAGAUGACAACAAAAGAAGUAGAGCUCAAUAGCUCAAUCUGAAAGAAAAGACAGCUGAUCCCCAAAGGCCUAAAAAUAAAAAAUCCACUUGUUACUAUGCACAAAUAGCAGUAUGCUGAAAACCUGUGUAAACGCACUAGUGAGAAACUUAGAAACCAUCUCAUCUACCAGCUCUACAGCAAGAAAUAUAGCAUCCAACAUAAAAAACAAUACUCCAAAAUCUAUGUGAGGAAAAUAUAUAAAUUGAUGAACAACUAGAACAUGAUCUAUACUAUUUUUACAAAAAGCAACAACAGGACCUUUUUAAGAAGAAAAAUAAUAAACUCAUCAGACUUCAGCACUUCUGCCACUACAGAUAUAGGAAAUGUCGGGCAUAGAUGACCGGACACCCCAGGACCACUAGGCCAGUGACAUCAUGGUUGUCACCCCGGGAUGAAGUUCAGACUAAAGUUUAAAGAUAAAAAAGAUACAAAAUCCCUCAUCCAAAAAUUGUCCCAUAUUCAUUCUUUGAGGGCACUAAGCAGAUUUAAGUUUCAAAGUAGGAACAGCCUUUAUAACGUUCCUAUGCUUCUCCUGUCCAUCUAUGGCUAGCUCACAAUAUAGAAAUUCUGUAUCAAACAUAUACUUUAAAAGAAGAAUGUGUUAUUACCUGUAGUGGCACCAGAUUGUGUAGUUGAAGCUGAAAUUCAAAGCAACAGAUAUGUUAAAAAUUCUAUUUAAUAUGCAACAGUAAUAGGUAAUGUUAGAUAAUGCUGACAUUCUCACACACUGACACACAGACAUACAUACUAGGCACACAGACUUACAUGCUGAAAUGCAGAUAUACAUACAGACACAAAUAAUGACUCACAGACAUACACACUGAUACACACACUCAUAGUGACACACAGAAGAACAUAUUUAUACACAGACACACAGUCAUAAAUACUGACAGACACACACAUGGAAGUCACCCAUGGGCCUCAUCAGCAUACAGGCCCAGGUACAGCUGUACCAGUGGCACUUCCGCCUCUACAGAGUCAUGUCUACAAAUGCUCACAGUUUAGGGAAUACAAUUUAUAAACUUGUGGCUAUAAUGGCAACUGAUAAUGUAGAUUUAGUCGCUGUUACUGAGACAUUGUAUAAUGAGAAAGAUGACUGGGAGAAAGCAAUACCAGGGUACUCUUUAUAUAGAAAAGACAGGGAAGGGAAGAAAGGGGGAGGGGUGGCCCUGUAUGUGAAGGAUAGCAUAAAAUAUAGCCUAAUAAGUUAGUGAGGCAAACAUAGAGUCCGUUUGGAUUACGUAAGAAUUUGAUAAUCACACAGUAACUUGUGUAGGUGUGAUUUAUAGGUCCCCAGGACAAAUAAAAGAGUUAGAUAAUCUACUAGUUGAGGAAAUAGCUAAAAUGACAAUGAAGGGGGAAGUUAUCAUCAUGGGUGACUUUAGUCGUCCUGAUGUGAAUUGGAAACCAAAAUAGCUGCUUGUGCCAGGAGAACACAUAUUCUAAACUCCCUACUGGGAUUGUCUCUAAAACAAGUUGUUGAGGAGCCAACUCGUAAAGAGGUCAUAAUAGAUUUAGUGUUAACAAAUGGAGAUUUGGUAUCAGAUAUUACUGUAGGUGAAAGUUUAGGAUCCAGUGAUCAUCAGUCAGUGUGGUUUAAUAUAAGAACAGUGACUGAGUCACACCACACCAUUGCUUGCUGGACAUUUCUAUAAUUGUUACUAAUUUGGUCAAAUUUAUGAUGUAGGAAAAUUAUAGUUGAGGAAUCCUGUAAUAUUUUCUUAUAUUUAGUUAUACUAGUUACGGUGAACCUGUGAAUUGUGUAGCUUGAUAAAUAUAACAUCAAUGGAACACUAUAGUAUACAAACAUUUAUUCAAUACACAAUAAUGUCCUGCUACUAAAGUGCCCACCUUACACCCAACAUGUGAGGGUUUAAAAGCAGGCAAAAUUCCUCACUGUGUCAAUUAAAUGCCACCCUAUGAGCAGCAUUUGAUCUUUAGCUGAGUUUGCUCAGUUAUAGCAGAGGAAGUGCUUAUUCUGGCUGUCAGGAAGACAGCCACUAAAGACAUAUUAAACCUGCAAUGUAAACAUGACAAUAUUUUACAUUGCGAGAUUGGACAGAUAGCGCAAUCCCCCCAGACCACUUCAAUGAGAUUAAGUGGUCUGGAUUUCUCGAAUGUCCCUUUUACAGUGAAAUUUUACUUUCAAUACAUAAGUGAGCAUGUUGGAUCUUACACAACACAAUGAGUGUUUUGAAAAUGAAUAAAUAAAAGUAAAUAAUUGUAUCAACCAUAAACACUAUAUAAAAAACAAUAUUUGCAUCAUUACCAGUGGUGGUAUUGGCUUGUGUACUUGAAACUGAAAUUGAAAAAGACACAUAUUGAAAUGAUUCAAUAUAUAUAUAUGCAACAGUAAUAAGUAAUUGUAGAGAGGUCUAAUACUACAAACACAUUUUCAAACUCAUUAGUACAAUGAUUACACUAGAGGCAUGUUUUCAAUUUAAGGACAAUUAGGCAAGUCUACUACAAGACUAGCAAAUCUUAAAUACAUGUAAAAAACAUAAUUGAAACUUUCCAUCAGAAUUCUUCAUUCAAAUCUUCAUUUGUUAGGCUCCAAAUAAGGCCAAAUAAAAAUCCAUAGAACCAAGACUUAAAAUAUGAAAAAAGCAUAACAAGCAAAAAAACUUUGCCUCUAAUCAGAGUUGCCUUGCAAUGCAAUACCAGGCAGGACUUGUGAUAGGUGAGAGUUACCACUCACAGUGCCCUGAUUUUCUGUUAUUAAGUUAUCAGUUAUUAAUGAUUUUUAUUUGCCUUUUUUAAGCUAAAAUAACAGCCUCUAUUGUUCCCCUUCACUGUUAUUACUGUUGCUUUUUAUACAAUACGAGAUCACAAAUAUACAAUACGAGAUCACCCCAUGGCAACGCUCCGGGUCCCGUGAGAGUGAACUCUAGCCCCACAGGCUAGAGUUCACUCACCACUAGGACCACCAUGGAUGGCAACUGCACGACCUCCCCCCCUCCCAGGCUAAAGGUAAGAAGGGAGGGGGGACAUAAUCACACACUGCAUGUUGACACUCACAGUACUCUCACUCACACAUACACACACUGCACCCCUGACAAUCACAGCACCCUCAUUCACACACAGUAUACACACUGCACCCCACACACAGCACCCUUACACAUAUCACCCACGCACACACAGAGCACAAUACUCUUUCCUGUCAUUUUUGUCUCCUGGUAUCCCAUCUAUGGAGACACCAGAGACAAAUUUCAAGCAAACACAGUUCAAGCAUGUUAUUAAAUUUGCUUGCACUGUGCAGAACAAAUACAGGGUCUUUUUCUCAUGCUAGAGCUCCUCAGCAGAGCUCUGCACAUGGUCUAACCUGGAAGAGCAUUGAACCAACAUGCUCACUUUGUGAUGGGGCAUACUUGUCAUUGGUGAUGACCAAACACACCCUAUCUGGCCCCGCCCCCUUUUUAGUUUAGUUAAAAAAUGCCCAGGCCCAAAUUUUUUCCCAGUCCGGCCCUGUUAGCUAUUUAAAAGUAAAGUCAACAGUGACUUUUGAUAAAAGGAUAACAAUUAUUUUUAUGCAAUACAAAAUCACAAAUAUAUGAUUUGACGCAUACAUUUUAUAUGGAAUACCAAAGGAAGCAUAAUGGAUUUCCAUUCAUACACUAUGUAACAGUAACAGGCAAUUGUAGAUAGUUCUAAUAUUACAGACAUAAAAGAUUAUAAAAAUCAGAAGGCUGUCAGCUAAAUGAUUCCAUGGCUUACGCAUUUUCUCCUGACAGUAGACCAGUAAUGCAUUACAAAGCAGUUCUCAUGACAGGUUACACUUGAGAUUGCCUCUCAAAAAAAAGUUUUGCUCCAUACCCAACUAAUCCGAUAACUGACUGCUAAUUUAAACAUAAGGAUGCCAUAUUAAAGGUAAAAAAAAUUACUACGCACAGAGACCUCCACAGAAUUAUUAUUAUAAUUCUUUUUUUUGCAGUAUUUUAUUUAUAUGUUUUUAGUUUUUAAGUCUAGUCAGUUAUUAUUGAUUUUUAAUUUUCCCUUUUUAAGGCAAAAAAAAAAGAUUUGAAAAAGGAAGACUUUAGAUGACAAGUUUUGAUGGCUAUUCUAGAUCCAUUGUACCCCUUCACUAUUAUUAUUGUUAGUUUUUUUACAAUACAAAAUCACAAAUAUAUGAUUUAAUAGAUAAAGUUUAUUUUUAAUAUAUAUAUGUGUUUGAUGGAUUUUAAUUUGUACAAUAGGUAUCAAAGAUGUAUUGCAAAUCUUUAUCAAACAUUUACAUCAAAAAAACAGUUGUACUGUUACCUGUGGUGGCAUUAGCAUUUGUAGUUGAAGCUGAAAUUCAAAGAGACAAAUUGUUUAAUUAUUCAAUUUAAUAUGCAAUAAUAACAGGAAAUUUUACAUGAAAUUAGGUUUUAUAUUUUGCAUUAAACAAUCUUUACUGAAGUCCAGCAGCACAGAUCAUUAACAGGAAAAACAUCCAAAAAACAGUUGAUAUUUAAGGCCCUCACCUCUCAAGCACUUUCCCCUUCUUUGCUGCUCCUGCUGUGCACAGGCCAUUGUAUUUUGAUCCUUUAUGACUUUAUCAUACUAUUUACUUUCUCAUUUAUUUUGUGCUUCCUUGUUUUUGGCACACAUAUUUAAUUGAUUUUAAAAGGUAUUUUUAUGGACGUUCUAGUCUCAAAAUGUAAUGAAUAUGGGAAAUGGUUUAUGUGGAUUGCAUUGAGAUUUAUGGAUGUCAUUUAAUUGAUAUGUCUUACAAUGCACACAAGUGUAUAUAUGUACCACAGUGUUCCUGGGAGUAAUUUAUGCCAGAUUAUGCUGUGUCCCCAUGACACGUCAACUGGGGUCACUACCCCAUAUGAUAUUGGUUGCCCCAGUGAGGCAGUUUAUUGACAGGGGUGACCCCCUUCCAGGUACCAUUCCUAUUACUGUGUUUUCCAAUCUAUAUACUGGAUAAUACAAUGGAGCUUCACUGUGCAACUGGGGUGAACUCAAAUAUCGAUUUCAUUACCUAGCUGCACUGUUGGCAACAAGUGUGAGGGUGACCCCCUCAGUGGUACUUUUUCAGCCUGGCAGGGAACUUAUAGGGUUGACCCACUUUUAUAUGAGACUGAUAUUGUCUCCUAUUAAUUAAAGGGAAGCCCACUUUGGUACGUGUCUAUCGCUUAUGUUGGUUGUUUUAGAGGAUGACUUCCUCUCUUCACUGGCACUACUACUAAAUUUCUCCACCAGAGAAUGGAUGCCUGCCUUCUCCAGGUGAGCACCAGCUGUAUUGGGAACCUGACACCCUGUGCUUUUACGCAUUUCCCACUGACUACUUUGCUUGCGCUCUAAUCAUGGGUGACUUGUCACAAUUUACUCAGUAUUUUCAGGUGAUAAUCAAUGUUGCUGUCGGAGGAGAUGGUCUUGAAGGUGCUGACCCACAUGCCAGUGGAGUCUGUUGGUUAAGGGAAAACUAUACCACACAACCUAGAGCAACUAUACCACACAACCUCUUCGGCACUCCAGAUGUUGUGGACUACAUCCCCCAUAAUGCUUUUACACCCAUAAGGCUGGCAGAGCACCAUGGAAGGUGUAAUCCAAAACAUCUGGAGUGUCAAAGGUUGCCUAUGCCUUAUCUAGAGGAUGAUUGGGCUCCGAGACUUCUAGGGAUAAUAUACCUUUGGCUAACUCCACUGGAACGGAGCUGAAUUGAAUUUCCAGAAAUCUAAGGCAAAGGCCACAAUUAAAUAGCCUAAAUAGAUGGAGAUGCAAGCCCUGCCUCCUUAUCCAUUGGCAUCCUUGGUUGUGGUAGACAAAUGUCGAGCAGACGGAUCGGCUUCAGAGGAGAAAGAAUGGCAAGACAUACCACAGACAGAGUCUUGAUCUGUCAGGUAAUCUAUAGAGGAUGAUUCUUCCCACAGAAAGGAUACCCAAAAGCCACUGGCUUCCAGGGACUCUCAAUGGAUGCUGUUUUUUCAACCCCACUCAAGCAUCUGAGAUUGGAAUCGUGCCUCCCAGGCCAUCUCACUUUAUUCCCUUCUGGCUGAGAAAGCAAUUGGAGAAGAAGGUGUGCAUGCACCUGUGGGCCAAAUGCCCUCGCCCGCUGCUCCGAAAGUAGCGUACACUCCCGAAUUUUACACUACGGUAGUGGGCCUUAUAUCCUGGAUGGGUCAUGGCUUCCGCAAGAGGAUUGAAAAGGACUUUUUGGAUGGAUGCCUGCCUUCUCCAGGUGAGCACCAGCUGUAUUGGGAACCUGACACCCUGUGCUUUUACGCAUUUCCCACUGACUACUUUGUUUCCCAGUCGGGAACACGCUUACGCUCUAAUCAUGGGUGACUCGUCACAAUUUACUCAGUAUUUUCAGGUGAUAAUCAAUGUUGCUGUCGGAGAUGAUGGUCUUGAAGGUGCUGACCCACAUGCCAGUGGAGUCUGUUGGUUAAGGGGAAACUAUACCACACAACCUAGAGCAACUAUACCACACAACCUCUUCGGCACUCCAGAUGUUGUGGACUACAUCCCCCAUAAUGCUUUUACACCCAUAAGGCUGGCAGAGCACCAUGGAAGGUGUAAUACAAAACAUCUGGAGUGUCGAAGGUUGCCUAUGCCUUAUCUAGAGGAUGAUUGGGCUCCGAGACUUCUAGGUAUUAUAUAUCUUUGGCUAAACUCCACUGGAACUGAGCUGAAUUGAAUAUCCAGAAAUCUAAGGCAAAGGCCACAAUUAAAUAGCCUAAAUAGAUGGAAAUGCAAGCCCUGCCUCCUAAUCCAUUGGCAUCCUUGGUUGUGGUAGACAAAUGUCGAGAAGACAGAUCGGCUUCAGAGGAGAAAGAAUGGCAAGACAUACCACAGACAGAGUCUCGAUCUGUCAGGUAAUCUAUAGAGGACGAUUCUUCCCACAGAAAGGAUACCCAAAAGCCACUGGCUUCCAGGGACUCUCAAUGGAUGCUGUUUUUUCAACCCCACUCAAGCAUCUGAGAUUGGAAUCGUGCCUCCCAGGCCAUCUGUCUUUAUUCCCUUCUGGCUGAGAAAGCAAUUAGAGAAGAAGGUGUGCAUGCACCUUUGGGCCAAAUGCCCUCGCCCGCUGCUCCCAAAGUAGCGUACACUAUUUUACACUACGGUAGUGGGCCUUAUAUCCUGGAUGGGUCAUGGCGUCCGCAAGAGUAUUGAAAAGGACUUAAAAGCUGCCCAAGACAAACUUCUGGAUAUCCUCGGUCCUCUGGAUAAAAUUGCUAUACUUUGCUGAUCUGGAUCUCUCACCAGACACGCAAUUCAACCCAAAUGACAUCCGAGAGUGGGCUCAGCAUUCAAUCUGCAUGCUUGGCAAUACAAACACUGCUCUUUUUACAGAACAUCGCAAGUCCGCUCUUCUGAAGAUAGACACAAAGCUACUUGGGUAAGAAGGAGCUAAGACCCUUUGCUAAUGGGCUCCUAUCUGGAGAAUCCUUUAUCACCGAAUUAAAGAGGCAUGUGAACCUUUUCACCACUCUGAAUAAAGUGCAAACCUCUAUGAAAGUAGUUUUUUGACCAUCUCCUGACAGUAGUGUUUUUUGCAGAGCUGUUUGGCAGAGGGGCCAAGCCAUCAGCUAUUUCUAGUAUACCGGAACAAACACUCCAUCCUCAUCCUUCUUUCCAUUCAACAUUGCCACUUUCCAUAAAGGAACAGAGAGGACAAGACGCAAUAGAGGCAGAAGCUAUGCAUUCUUCUUUGAUUCUAUCUUCUACUGAUUUAACUGCAGGCAUAUUACAGAAUUGAAGAGCAAUCUUUGUGACACCUGGGUCAUUCAGACAUCAUUGAGUUCCACUCUGUUUCCACAUAAACUUGUCCUCCGCAUCCCUUAUGCAUGUCUGAGGUACACAGGUCCCUCAUCAAUGAAAACAUUUGUGCUCUGUUCUCUAGAGGUGCAGUGUGCAAUUCACACCAGAUGGGACAGGUUUACAGGCAACAUUUUUCAAUGACUUCAGACUUACGACCUUUCCUCAAUUUAUGUCAACUUAACAACUUUGUGAUGUAAUGACACUUCAAGAUGGAAGGAAUCCAUUUUCUGUGGAAGCAUCUCUGAAGAACAACUUGUUCACUUGUCUCGAUCUAAAGGAUGAGCACCUCUUGAUUCUUAGCCAUAGCUUUCUCCAUUUCAUUUGGUGGGACUGACAUUGCCAGUUCAUGUGUCUGACUUUCGGACUCAGCUCUAAAGAACAUAAACAACGCAAUGCUUAAAAUCUCAGUGUUUAUGUUCAAGUCAGUCAUGCGAUUACUUGGUGCCUUUUUUGCUGGAGUUUCAAAUGUAGCUCCAUUGGUGACUGCUCCACAUUCAGACUGGAUUUCAUCGUAGAGUUGGACGCCAGCCUUCAGGGUUUCCAGAUCUGCUGGAACUGUCUCAUGACCACCCUCUUAUCCUGCCAUUGUUUUCUCUUCUUUCUCUUUCUUGCCAGAAGGCGUGUCCUUUUUAGUCUUGUGUCAUACAAAGACAAAGUCUACCUUAGUUUGGUUUUUUUUCUGAGAAUUGCCUCAACUGUGCGUGGUCAACAUGUUAUUCUGUUACACGGAGGUCACCGUGUCCUUUUAAUGCAUAAGAUGGUAAGCAUGAAACAUUUUUCUUUGUGGUAAUUCAGAUUUUUUUUAGUAUGUGUUUUACAAAUACUUAAUUUAACACAUUAAGUUCACUUUCAAUUUAUAUAUGUGAGUUUGAUGGAUCUCAAUUCAUACAAUAUGUGUCAAUGAUAUUCUGCAAAUUUUUAGCAAACAUGUACUUUAAAAGAACGGUUGUACUGUUACCUGUGGUGACAUUAGCAUUUAUAGUUGAAGCUGAAAUUCAAAGAGACAAAUAUAUUAAUGAUUCAAUUUAAUACACAACAGUAACCAGUAAUUGUAGGUAAUUCUAAUACUACAGGCAGAUUUAAAAAAUUAGAAGAUUAUAAAUUAAAUGAUUUCAUUAGGGAUAGACUUUUUUUUAUUUUUAAAAAGGGGGAAGUCCAUUACAAAGGCUAAAUAAUUUACAUAUCUGUAAAAGCUAGUUCAUGCCUUUCUUCAAAAUGUUUUUUUUUAAAUAUUGAUUUUUUUUAGGGCUUGAAAUGUCAAAAAAUAAUCCCUACUGCAUAAUAUGACUUAAAAAUUACAAAAAUAUAAGAAAGAACAAUCCAAUUUUCACUCUUUGAGGGAUCCAAUAAGACUGAAGUUUCAAAGUAGGAACAGCAUUUAUAAAGUCUCCACGCUUCUCCUGUCCAUCUCAGGCUAACUCACCAUAUAACAAUUCGGGAUGAAACAUUUACUUUAAAAGAAGGAUGUUUUGUCACAUGUAGUGACACCAGAUUGUGCAGUUGAUGCUGAAUUUCAGAGCAUCAAAUAUGGUAAUAAUUCAAUAUAAAAUACGUAUUAAAUAUUUUUCUUACAGGUAUUUCAGAUUUUUUGCACCUCUGACUUUUAUUAGCAUUAUUUACACUUGUAAAAGGUGUAGCUAUGGAAAUGUAUUGGUUAAAGGUGACAUUAAGUUUAAACAAAAAAACAACGCAAAUAUUUUAUAUGAUGCAAAAUCACAAAUAUAUGAUUUAAUGCAUACAUUUUACUUUCCAGGCAUAUGUGAGCAAGUUGGUAAGCAUGACAUAUUUCUCGGUUUCCGUAUUUUAGAUUUAUUAAACGACCAUCACUGUUAUCAUUUUCACUCUUACUCUGUGGAUGAUUUAGCUAUAUAAAUGUAAAGCUAACAGUGACAUUUGAUAACAGAAAAACAAAACUUUGUAUGCAAUACAAAAUCACACAUACAUGAUUUAAAUCAUACAUUUUACUUUCACUAUCAAAGUGAGGAUGGGGAAUCUUUAUUGAUAGAAUAUAUGUCAAUGGCAUUCUGUAAAUCAAUAAUAGGCUUAAACAUCCAAAGAAAGAUUAUUUACCUGUAGUGGAACUAGUUUGUGUAGUUGAAGCUGAAAUUCAAAGAGACAAAUAUGUUAAUGAUUUAAUUCAAUAUGCAACAGUAACAGGUAAUUAUAGAUACUGCUAACCCUACAGACAGAUUAUAAAAAUUAGAAGUGUAUUAGCUCUAUGAUUCCAUUAGGUGCAGGCUUGCAUAUUUUUGACAAAAUGGGAAGUUUAUUACAAAGCCUAAAGCUUUUACAUACCUGUAAAAAAUAGUCCAUCUCUGGCUAACUCACAAAAUAAAAAUUCUGUAUCAGAUAUAUACAUUAAAAGGGAGGAGAGGAGGAAGAGAGGGAGAAAUAGAACAUGGGGGGGGAAGGUGGGAGAGUGGGAGAGUAUGAGACACAGGAAGGGGAGGGGGAGAGAUGGAGGGUAUGGGACUAAGGAUGGGGAGGGUGGUGAGGGAGAAAUGGGACACAGGGAGGGGAGGGGGAGAGACUUAGGGUAUGGCACACAGGAAGGGAAGGGGGAGAGAGGAAGGAAUGGGAAAUGGGGAAGGGGAGAGAUGGAGGGUAUGGGACACAGGGAGGGAAGAGAGAGAGAGAUAAAUAGAACACCUGGAGGGAAAGGGGGAGAGAGGGAGAAUGGGACACAGGGAGAGGAGGAGGGAGAGAGGGAACAAUGGGACACAUGGAUGUGAGGGAGAGAGAGGGAUGUAUGGGACACAGGAAGGGGAGGGGGAUAGACAGAGAAAUGGGACACAGGGAGGGUAGAGAGAGGGUAAGGGUCACAUGUAAGAGAGGGGAGGAGGGAGAGAGAGUAUUGAAUAUAUGUAAGGGGGAGGGAGGGAGAAAUGGGACACAGUGAGGAGGGGAAAUAGGGUAUAAGAGAGGGAGGGUAAGAGAGAGAAGAAUGGGACACAUGGAGUAGAGGGGGAGAGAGGAAGGAAUGAAUGGGACACAGGGAGGGGAGAGAGGGAGUGAAUGGGUCACAUGGAGGGGAGGGAAUGAGCGAGGGUAUGAGACACAUGGAAGGGAGGGGAGGAGGGAGAGAGGGUAUGGGACACAUGAGAGGUAGGGUAUGGGACACAUGGAAGGGAGGGGUAGAGAGGGAAGAAUGAGAUAUGUGGAGGGGAGAGAGAGACACAGGGUGGAGAGGGAGAUAUGGUUCACAUGGAAGGGCUGGGAGGGAGGAGGGUAUUUAAAACAUGGAGGUUCUGCAGGGAGAGGGAAUGGGAUACAUGGAGGGGCUGGAGGGGUUGAGGGUAUGGGAAAUUGGAGGGUGAGGGGGAGAGGGAAUGGGACACAUGGAGGGGCUGUGGUGUCGAGGGAAUGAGUCAAGGAGGGGGCCUGGGUGCGGGAAUGAGACCCAGUGGGCAGAAUGAGGCACCAGGGAAAUUGAAUGAGACACUGGGGGGAUGAGACACAUGGUAGGGGGCAAUUUUCAAAUGACCACAAGGAUGCAGUGUGUGUAGAUUGGAUACAGGCUCUGUGUGUGUUGUGGAUGCAGUGUGUGUUUGUGUAUUGGAUGCAGUGUGUGUAAAGUGGACACAGUGUGUUUGUGCAUGUGUAGUUGAGGCAGUGUAUUUGUGUAGUUAAUGCAAUGUGUGUUUGAAUGAAAGCAUGUUUAUGUAUGGUGUAUGUGUGUGAAUGUUGUUGUUUGAAUGCAGGCAUGCAUUUGUGUGUUGUGCAUACACUUCCACACACACUGAUACACAUACAUACAGAUACACAGUCACACACACACUGACAAUCAUGCAAAUACAUAGAUACACACACUGACACACUGACUCACACAGUUACACACACACUGACACACAGAUACACACAGACAUACAUACUGACAGACACACAGACAUACAUACUGACAAUCACACAGACAAACACACUGACACACAGACAUACAUACUGACACACAGACACACAUACUAAUACACAAACAUACAUACUGACACAAAAACAUACAUACUGACAGACACACACACAUGCAAUUAAUUUUUUAGCCACCUUCCUGUUACUUUAUUUUGGGUGCAGGAGGGUGGCUGGGGCUGAUGGGUGUUGGUCUAGCAGUUAGCUCUCCCAUUCCCACUGCCUUUGCUCUGCCUUCCUCCCAAGUGGAGUAAGCCAGGAGGAAAUGACCGUCUGUCACUUACUCCCAGCAAAAGUUGUUGCUACCAAUUUUAGAGCUAUCCAGUUGCGCUAUAUAAUCUGACCACGCCCCUGAUGAUAUAUGCCUUAAGAGCAUGUACCACGGUGCAGUUGCACCAGCGGCAGUUCUGCCACUACAGAUAUACGGAAUGUACAGUCAAAUGGCCAGACACCCCAGUACUGCCGGUUUUGUGACAAGCAUCUUGGUGAGCCCUGAAUAAGACUUAAAGAUAAAAAAGAUACAAAAAUCCUGUAUUUAAAUCCUGUAUUUGAGGGCUCCAAGCAGAUUAAAGUUUCAAAAUAGGAACAGCCUUUAUAAGGUUCCCACACUUCCCUGUCCAUCUCUGACUAACUCACAAUAUAACAAUUCUGUAUUAAACAUAUACAUUAAAAGAAGGAUGUUUUGUUACCUGUAGUGGCACCAGAUUGUGUAGUUGAAGCUGAAAUUCAAAGUGACAUGUUAGUGAUUCAAUUUAAUAUGCAAAAGUAGUAGACAGAUUAUAAAAUGCGAAGGCUAUCAGUUAACGUAUUACAUUAUGGUCAGGUUGACAAAUAUUAACUAAAGGGGAGGUCCAUUACAAGGCUAAUAUACCUUACAUUGCUGUAAAAAAUAGGCUAUGCUUUUUUUUACAUUUUCAUUUUACAGGCUUCAAAAAAGGUCAAAGAAAAAUCCAAUGCAUCCAAAGAGUUAAAAACAAAAAAUGCACGGUUUGCAAAAAUUCAAUCCACUCUUAAACAGAAUGUUCAACUCAAUUAGGGGAAAUGCUGGUUUCCCCCGAGCAAGUAUGGAGUCCAGUAUUUCUACCAUUCUAAAACCAGGGAAAGAUCCAAAACUGGUCAUUAAUUAUAGGCCCAUCUCCACUAUUAAUAUAGAUAUUAAGUUUUUUUAAGAUUUCUGUUGUCUAAUUACAAAUUAAAUCUUUCUAAAACCCAAAUUUUGACAUUUUAUAUGACUGAAAAACAGAGAAAAGAAUAUAGGUGACUUUGGUCAAUCCGAUUAACAUAAAAAAUGUAUAUAUUAUUUAGGAAUAUACCGCAAACUCUUGAAAUGAAUUAGGAAACCUUGUGGGAGGAACUUAACAUAUUAUUGACUCAAUGGAAGAGAUUGGAAAUCUCAUGGUUGGGAUGUCUUGGUGUAUUAAAAUCAUAUGUACUCCCAAAACUUCUCUACUUGUUUAGAGCAAUACCAUACCAAGUCUCAAACUCUAUUCUGAAAAAAAUUGACUUGCCAUUUUCUAACUUUGUUUGGGCAUCUAAAAAACCUAAGAUCCCAAGCACAGUUCUUAAGAGAAGAACUUUACAACAUGGUUUAGUAUAUCCAGAUAUAUAUCGUUAUCAUGAUUCAUUCCAACUUUUCCAUAUGAUGGCGUGGAAGAGAAGGAAGAAGGUUAAUAUUGGUUAAUAUAACAUUGAAAAAUAUAUUAUAGGAACCUGUGAGCCUUAUUUAUUGUGUUCGUCCUCUCCUAAACUAUAAAAAAAAAAAAUACAACUAAUACAGCUACAAUCUUUACUUGAACACUAUGGAAGAUACCGCAUACAGCUGUCUAAUGAAGCAAAUCUACAAGAUGACCACAAAAGAAGUAGAGCUCAAUAGCUCAAUCUGCAAGAAAAGACAGCUGAUCCCCAAAAGCCUAAAAAUCAAAAAUCCACUUGUUACUGUGCACAAAUCGCAGUAUGCUGAAAACCUGUGUAAACGCACUAGUGAGAAACUAAGAAACCAUCUCAUCUACCAGCUCUACAGCAAGAAAUAUUGCAGCCAACAUAAAAAACAAUACUCCAAAAUCUAUGUGAGGAAAAUAUAUAAAUUGCUGAACAACUAGAACAUGAUCUAUACUAUUUUUACAAAAAGCAACAACAGGACCUUUUUAAGAAGAAAAAUAAUAAACUCAUCAGACUUCAGCACUUCUGCCACUACAGAUAUAGGAAAUGUUGGGCAUAGAUGACCAGACACACCAGGACCACUAGGCCAGUGACAUCAUGGUUGUCAACCCGUGAUGAAGCUCAGACUAAACUUUACACAUAAAAAAGAUACAAAAUCCCUCAUCCAAAAAUUGUCCCAUAUUCAUUCUUUGAGGGCACUAAGCAGAUUUAAGUUUCAAAGUAGGAACAGCCUUUAUAACGUUCCUAUGCUUCUCCUGUCCAUCUGUGGCUAGCUCACAAUAUAGAAAUUCUGUAUCAAACAUAUACUUUAAAAGAAGAAUGUGUUAUUACCUGUAGUGGCACCAGAUUGUGUAGUUGAAGCUGAAAUUCAAAGCAACAGAUAUGUUAAAAAUUCUAUUUAAUAUGCAACAGUAAUAGGUAAUGUUAGAUAAUGCUGACAUUCUCACACACUGACACACAGACAUACAUAAUAGGCACACAGACUUACAUGCUGAAAUGCAGAUAUACAUACAGACACAAAUAAUGACUCACAGACAUACACACUGAUACACACACUCAUACUGACACACAGAAGAACAUAUUUAUACACAGACACACAGACAUACAUACUGACAGACACACACAUGGAAGUCACCAAUGGGCCUCAUCAGCAUGCAGGCCCAGGUACAGCUGUACCAGUGGCACUUGCGCCUCUACAGAGUCAUGUCUACAAAUGCUCACAGUUUAGGGAAUACAAUUUAUAAACUUGUGGCUAUAAUGGCAACUGAUAAUGUAGAUUUAGACGCUGUUACUGAGACAUAGUAUAAUGAGAAAGAUGACAGGGAGAAAGCAAUACCAGGGUACUCUUUAUAUAGAAAAGACAGGGAAGGGAAGAAAGGGGGAAGGAUGGCCCUGUAUGUGAAGGAUAGCAUAAAAUAUAGCCUAAUAAUUUAGUGAGGCAAACAUAGAGUCUGUUUGGAUUACGUAAGAAUUUGAUAAUCACACAGUAACUUGUGUAGGUGUGAUUUAUAGGUCCCCAGGACAAAUAAAAGAGUAAGAUAAUCUACUAGUUGAGGAAAUAGCUAAAAUGACAAUGAAGGGGGAAGUUAUCAUCAUGGGUGACUUUAGUCGUCCUGAUGUGAAUUGGAAACCAAAAUAGCUGCUUGUGCCAGGAGAACACAUAUUCUAAACUCCCUACUGGGAUUAUCUCUAAAACAAGUUGUUGAGGAGCCAACUCGUAAAGAGGUCAUAAUAGAUUUAGUGUUAACAAAUGUUGAUUUGGUAUCAGAUAUUACUGUAGGUGAAAGUUUAGGAUCCAGUGAUCAUCAGUCAGUGUGGUUUAAUAUAAGAACAGUGACUGAGUCACACCACACAAAAACAAAGGUUUUAGACUUUAGAAAAACAGACUUUUUUAAAUUUAGAAUAUGUGUAAAGGAGUCAUUAUCAGACUGGAGCAAUUUAAAUGGAGUCCAAGAAAAAUUUGAUUAUUUAAAAGUUGCACUGCUGAAUGCAACAUAACAUUUCAUUAGGCUUGUCAGUAAAAGCAAAAAAUUUAAGAAACCACUGUGGUACUCCGCAGAUGUGGCCAAAAUAGUAAAAAACAAAAAGUUAGUAUUUACCUGUAGUGGAACUAGUUUGUGUAGUUGAAGCUGAAAUUCAAAGAGACAAAUAUGUUAAUGAUUUAAUUCAAUAUGCAACAGUAACAGGUAAUUAUAGAUACUGCUAACCCUACAGACAGAUUAUAAAAAUUAGAAGUCUAUUAGCUCUAUGAUUCCAUCAGGUGCAGGCUUGCAUAUUUUUGACAAAAUGGGAAGUUUAUUACAAAGCCUAAAGCUUUUACAUACCUGUAAAAAAUAGUCCAUCUCUGGCUAACUCACAAAAUAAAAAUUCUGUAUCAGAUAUAUACAUUAAAAGGGAGGAGAGGAGGAAGAGAGGGAGAAAUAGAACAUGGGGGGGGGGAAGGUGGAAGAGUUUGAGAGUAUGAGACACAGGAAGGGGAGGGGGAGAGAUGGAGGGUAUGGGACUAAGGAUGGGGAGGGUGGUGAGGGAGAAAUGGGACACAGGGAGGGGAGGGGGAGAGACUUAGGGUAUGGCACACAGGAAGGGAAGGGGGAGAGAGGAAGGAAUGGGAAAUGGGGAAGGGGAGAGAUGGAGGGUAUGGGACACAGGGAGGGAAGAGAGAGAGAGAUAAAUAGAACACCUGGAGGGAAAGGGGGAGAGAGGGAGAAUGGGACACAGGGAGAGGAGGAGGGAGAGAGGGAACAAUGGGACACAUGGAUGUGAGGGAGAGAGAGGGAUGUAUGGGACACAGGAAGGGGAGGGGGAUAGACAGAGAAAUGGGACACAGGGAGGGUAGAGAGAGGGUAAGGGUCACAUGUAAGAGAGGGGAGGAGGGAGAGAGAGUAUUGAAUAUAUGUAAGGGGGAGGGAGGGAGAAAUGGGACACAGUGAGGAGGGGAAAUAGGGUAUAAGAGAGGGAGGGUAAGAGAGAGAAGAAUGGGACACAUGGAGUAGAGGGGGAGAGAGGAAGGAAUAGGACACAGGGAGGGGGGAGAGGGAGGGAAUGGGACACAGGGAGGGGAGAGAGGGAGUGAAU